UCUGCUUGAACUUCGGGUGCGCAAUAAAUAAAUAAAUAAAUAACUCAUUACAGGAUACACAAAACUAUAAAACGGGAUGGCACAAAUAAUACGGCCGCUGAAAAUGCGCUAAAAGCAUCAAUGCCGGUCGUCAACCGCCGCGCCGCGCGCCGCGCCGCUCUGACUGUAGUCACUCUAAAGAACUCCAGGUUGCCUACCCACCACCUGUAGGCGAAAGCCUCAUGCAUGACUAGUCAGAGAAGGCGAAGGACGUCUCUAUUGUUUUCCAUUUCUCGGAAAAAGAGGCACACUGCACUUUCUCUUCCGCCGUUGGCGGCAUAACUCUUUUGUUUCGCGACCAUUUUCAACUUCAAUUUUCAUUCCGUCCUUCCACCGUGCGUGCGGGUACUCCUGGCUCUUUCCCUUUCACAGGACUGACAAUUCUCCUGAAGACCCGAAGGCUGUCACCAAUUGAGAAAACAAGCUUUAAAUCGUCAACGAAGAAAUUUAAACAAACAUGGACGACUGGGACUUUAGCGGUGACACUAACAAUGGAAAUGACUCCUCCUCCGGAGGAGGAUAUGGCGGAGGCGGCAAAGGUCGCGGGUUCUCGAGAUACGAGGACGACGACGAUUCCGGAGGUGGCUUCCGCGGAGGACGCGGCGGUCGCGGCGGAGGCCGCGGUCGCGGAGGCGGCCGGGGAGGCCGAGGAGGUCGCGGUAAGUCUCAAAAUUAUUUCCCAUCUAUCCUUACUCUGAGAACCAAGAUUAAUCAUUCCGAUGUAUGGAAUUGAAAUCACCAUAAGCAAGACGUAAGAAGGUGAGGGGAACAGAGUGUCUUCAAGUCCGGAAAGUGCGGAAACAGCACUGAUCUUUUAAGGGCGGUCCGGAAGCACUGAAAAAGUGUGGAAAUUCUACACAAGGU
rnacentral:lncRNA from 1 species